GAGGUUGUGGCUCAAUGAUAGGGUGCUCACCUAGCACGUGCGAGGCCCUGAGUUCAAUCCUCAGCACCACA
rnacentral:tRNA from 1 species